CCCAGUACGAGUUAUUGAAAUCCCAGUCAAUAAAAAAUCUUUAUUUAUGGAUAGAAUAAACAGUUUUAAGACCUUUUAAGCCACCGUACGCGUGUGUGCAAGUGGCGGACACUUUAUGAAAUAUUGGGGGGGGAGGGGGGGCGGUUCGUGCGGAAGGCACAGAAAAUUUUUAAAUUUGAAUCCCGGAAAUGGCAUUUGCAGCAUUCUGAGACACGCAUAAUCAGAAAACCCAGAAUUGCGGGCGCCAGAGUAUGCCUGUUCGCAGGUAGUACUGUGAUUAAUAUAGUUAACAACAAAAAUCAUGAGAAAAGACACCAAAAACGGAUCAAAAUUGUAUUUUAAAAUACUUAAAACGUAGAAAAAUUGGGAAUCGACUUGCAUUACCUCAAUCCCAUUCCCAUUUUUGAGGUCUUCAUUUCCCAUUCCCAGUGGCCAAAUCCCAGUCCCAGCAACCCAAAUCCCAUUUUCCCAGUCUAAAAAUAGAUCAAUCCCA
rnacentral:lncRNA from 1 species